AACCCUCGCUGUGUGUUACAAGUGCCACACGGUACUGCCGGUCUUAAGCCGGAGGAAGGUGGGGAUGACGUCAAGUCAGCAUGGCCUUUAUGUCCUGGGCUACACACACGCUACAAUGGCCAACACAAUAGGUUGCUAAGCCGCGAGGUGGAGCCAAUCCUCAAAGUUGGUCUCAGUUCAGAUUGCAGGCUGCAACCCGCCUGCAUGAAGAUGGAGUUGCUAGUAACCGCAGGUCAGCUAUACUGCGGUGAAUACGUUCCCGGGGCUU
rnacentral:rRNA from 1 species